rnacentral:lncRNA from 1 species
GUAUUAAUUAAUCGCGAUUUAGAAAUCAUAGUAUAUGCAAAAAAAAAAAUGUGUCAAGUAUUUGUAACUAGGUUCAGAAAACUCUUAUUUGAACUUGUGUACCAGCUAGCUACUUCAGGCCCACAUCUGUAAGAUCAAUAAGUUAUGAAGUCUAUUUUACUGGUCUAUCAGGGCUACAAAAACCCAUAUCUAUUCUAACUAUCAUUGAACCUUGUCAUAACAACAACAAAUAUCCAGUAGUAUCGCACAAGUAGAGUCUGAAGAGUGCGGAUAUACACUAAUUUUACUCUUACUAUGUAUGGGCCAGGGUUGAGAGAUUAUUUAUCUUUAAAUUAUUCUUAAAUAUCCAGGAAGUGAGUAGCAAGGUGAAAGUUAUGCGAGAA